rnacentral:rRNA from 1 species
GAUGAACGCUAGCGGCAGGCCUAACACAUGCAAGUCGAGGGGUAACUAGAGUGAUAGCAAUAUUACUUUGGCUAGACCGGCGCACGGGUGCGUAACACGUAUGCAACCUACCUUAUACUGGGGAAUAACUUCGAGAAAUCGGCGCUAAUACCCCAUAACAUUGCGAAGAGGCAUCUCUUUGCAAUUAAAGCUCCGGCGGUAUAAGAUGGGCAUGCGUCCAAUUAGCUAGUUGGUGGGGUAACGGCUCACCAAGGCUACGAUUGGUAGGGGUUCUGAGAGGAUGAUCCCCCACACUGGGACUGAGACACGGACCAGACUCCUACGGGAGGCAGCAGUGAGGAAUAUUGCGCAAUGGACGAAAGUCUGACGCAGCCAUGCCGCGUGCAGGAUGACGGCCCUAUGGGUUGUAAACUGCUUUUGUACGGGAAUAAACCCUUCUACGUGUAGGAGGCUGAAGGUACCGUAAGAAUAAGCACCGGCUAACUCCGUGCCAGCCGCCGCCGUAAAAC